UUGGAGGGCAAGUCUGGUGCCAGCAGCCGCGGUAAUUCCAGCUCCAAUAGCGUAUAUUAAUGUUGUUGCAGUUAAAAAGCUCGUAGUUGAAUUUCGGGAUUAGUACGUUGGUCGUGCCUUCGGUACGUACUGGUGUUACUGAUUCCUACCUUCUGACGAACCAUCAUGUCAUUAAUUUGGUGUGGCGGGGAAUCAGGACUGUUACUUUGAAAAAAUUAGAGUGUUUAAAGCAGGCUCGCGCUUGAAUACAUUAGCAUGGAAUAAUGAAAUAGGACGUUGAUCCUAUUUUGUUGGUUUCUAGGAUUGACGUAAUGAUUAAUAGGGAUAGUUGGGGGCAUUAGUAUUCAAUUGUCAGAGGUGAAAUUCUUGGAUUUAUUGAAGACUAACUACUGCGAAAGCAUUUGCCAAGGAUGUUUUCAUUAAUCAAGAACGAAAGUUAGGGGAUCGAAGACGAUCAGAUACCGUCGUAGUCUUAACCAUAAACUAUGCCGACUAGGGAUCGGAUGAUGUUAUUUUUAAUACUCAUUCGGCGCCUUACGGGAAAC
rnacentral:rRNA from 1 species